rnacentral:tRNA from 1 species
UCUUCAGUAGCUCAGAGGUAGAGCAGAUGGCUGUUAACCAUUUGGUCGCUGGUUCAACUCCAGCUUGAAGAG